CACCUUAUAGCUCAGUCGGUAGAGCAACGGGCUUUUAACCCGUGGGUCGCAGGUUCAAGUCCUGCUGGGGUGA
rnacentral:tRNA from 1 species